UGGCAAGUUAUCAGAAGCAGUACGAGGAUCAGGGUCGCAAGAUCGACGAGUAUGGAAACGUCGUAAGGGAAACUGAUGAAUAUGGCAACCCGGUUCAGGCUGCCAGUGUCACCUAUAUAACCUCCUCCACCGGCGGUGUUAGGGAUGACAAUAGCAAGCAACAUGAUACCAGUAAUGUCUACGGAUCAGACACCCGUAAACAACAUGGAACUAUAGGUGAUACCGGUAGACAGCAAGGACCAACCGCUGGCUUUACUGCUGACACUGGUAGACAACAUGGAACUACCGGUGGUUUUACUGGUGACACCCAUAGACAAUAUGGCACUACCGGUGGUUUGACCGGUGACACCGGGAGACAACAUGGGACUACCGGUGGUUUUACUGGUGACACCCGGAGACAACAUGACACCGGGAGACAACAUGGGACUACCGGUGGUUUUGCUGGUGAUACCGGGAGACAACAUGGGAAUACCGGCGGCUUCACUGCUGACACUGGUCUGGGAGGCCCUUACGUUGGAGCCAACACCGCUGACACAGGGACUGGUCCUAGAAGUGGAACCACAGGUGGCAGCGGCUAUGGAUCGGGUGGUGGCGCAGGUGGUGGUUAUGGAAGUGGAAC
rnacentral:lncRNA from 1 species